rnacentral:lncRNA from 1 species
GGGAGUUGGUCAGUGGCUGGCUGAGUGUUAGAGAGCAGAUGUACAUUCCAGACUUGUGAAUGGGAUUGCCUACAGCAGGCGUGGGAGGAAGUUAGGCAUCCUUCUUGUCUUCCACAGGCAGUGGCUCUGGAAUAUUUUCCUGCAUGACAAUGCUGCUUCAGCAGAAGAGAUUCACCACCAGCACUGCUUCCAGCAGGUAUUAACGCAUCCUGUCUGGACCUCAGCUUCUCC